rnacentral:lncRNA from 1 species
AGGAUGUCAGCGCCAUCUUGUGACGGCGAAUGUGGGGGCGGCUCCCAACAGUCACCCAUCCAUUAGUGGCUCAUGUGUUCUUAAGACAAACUCAGCAGGCUGUACCUGUCCAGAGUGAAACCAGAGCUUCUGCCUGCAUGGAACAAGAGCAAGAGAAAGGCCGAGGAGACUGACCUGCUUAUCCAUGCUACUUAUCAGGAACUGUGGAACCAUGGAGAACAUGACCCUGGCCCUCCCUUCAGGAUCUGCCUGAGAUCUGGCUGCCUCUUGAGACACUAGAGCCCUGGAUUCAAUUGCGGAACAUUAUGUUGGAGAAUAUAAACACUUCUAGACUGUGCCGGCAUUUGGGAAGGAAUAGUCUGUUUUGACUUGAAUGAACAAAGACAUACGUCUCUGGGCCUGGGGAAGGCUUACCAGCUCAGCUCAUCUACUGUCUGGUGGCAAACAUGUCCUGGGUACUGCCACUACCCAGGACACUCUUCCUCACUCUGUCCCUGUCCAGUUACCGCACCCUUCCCUGUCUGACCCCGCCUCCUGUGCCCACUCGCCUCUGGACCCAGAGAUUCUUCUUGUUUGCUCUAUCAUCCUUGAGCCGGAUACAGGGUGAAUAGUUAACCACACUUGGGUUGAAUGGGAUCUUGAUUCUUAUUUCUGUUCCUUGGAAAGAGGGGUCAGACUCGGUGCGUGGCACCCGGCCUGGAAGCAGCACAAGACUCCAGAGUGAUACAUGAUCUGCCUGGAUGGUCCCAGGGGCUCUUUGGAGGUCAGAGCAAGAGGAGCAGCCUGAGCAGGGGGGCUGAGGAGGGCCGGCACUGGAUCACACGCAGGCGUAUGUCUGGAUAGGCAGAGAGGAACCCACUUUUCAUUCCCUCUUCUGUGACACAAAUGCAAGGAACUUUGAAGACACUCUUCGGAGGUUGCAAUCGGAGAUCAGCUUAUCCAAGGGCUUCAUGUCUGAGCUCUGUUGGUCGUGCCUCCUGAGGACCUCUUUCCUCUACUGUAUGCUGAUGACACACCCAUCCGAUGGGAGCUGGAGCCUUGUCUGGUCCUUUCCUCUAUGACCCCACGUGUACAGUUGGAAAUCCUUCCUAAUCAUGCCUUGAUUCCCCCUUUUCGACUACACUCAAAGAUGUUUGAGCUGUUUUAUUUGCAAAAUGGAUGGACAGUUUGUUUAUAUAAAACAAUCCCAGCUUCCUUGUGCUCUAUCUGGUGUGUUUGUAUGGCUCUUCAGUGACUUUAAAGUGGAGCAUUGACCUUGGCCUCUUUGAUUCUCCAUGGUGGAAUAGAGAAGACCUCUUGAGGAUGCUUAAUGUUGCUGAGAUCUUAAGAAGGCUUGCAGACUUCCUCUUCCUCCCUCCUUCUCCCACCUCCUCCUUCCCUAAGCAGCCUCUGCAUUGUAUAAAUUCCUUUAUAUAAAUUCCUCUG